rnacentral:rRNA from 1 species
GUUGACCUCGAAUCAGGUAGGAAUACCCGCUGAACUUAAGCAUAUCAAUAAGCGGAGGAAAAGAAACCAACAGGGAUUGCCCUAGUAACGGCGAGCGAAGCGGCAACAGCUCAAAUUUGAAAUCUGGUCUUCUGGGCCCGAGUUGUAAUUUGCAGAGGAUGCUUCUGGCAAGGUGCCUUCCGAGUUCCCUGGAACGGGACGCCAUAGAGGGUGAGAGCCCCGUACGGUUGGACACCGAGCCGUUGUGUAGCUCCUUCAACGAGUCGAGUAGUUUGGGAAUGCUGCUCUAAAUGGGAGGUAUAUCUCUUCUAAAGCUAAAUACCGGCCAGAGACCGAUAGCGCACAAGUAGAGUGAUCGAAAGAUGAAAAGCACUUUGAAAAGAGAGUUAAACAGCACGUGAAAUUGUUGAAAGGGAAGCGCUUGUGACCAGACUUGUGCCCGGUGAAUUAGCUGGUGUUCUCACCAGUCGACUUUGCCGGCUCAGGCCAGCAUCGGUUUGUUAUUGGGGAGAAAAACGAUGGGAAUGUGGCUCCUUCGGGAGUGUUAUAGCCCGCCGUAUAAUACCCUUUGGCAGACCGAGGACCGCGCAUCUGCAUGGAUGCUGGCGUAAUGGUCACCAGCGACCCGUCUUGAAACACGGACCAAGGAGUCAACCUUAUGUGCAAGUGUUUGGGUGUUAAACCCCUACGCGGAAUUAACGUGAACGUAGGUGAGAGCCUUCGGGCGCAUCAUCGACCGAUUCUGAUGUUCUCGGAUGGAUUUGAGUAAGAGCACACAGGGUUGGACCCGAAAGAAGGUGAACUAUGCUUGUAUAGGGUGAAGCCAGAGGAAACUCUGGUGGAGGCUCGCAGCGGUUCUGACGUGCAAAUCGAUCGUCAAAUAUGAGCAUGGGGGCGAAAGACUAAUCGAACCUUCUAGUAGCUGGUUCCAGC